AACCACCUGCGUGGCUUGUGAUGUUUUUGAAAGAGUGCCGGAAAGAAGGGGCCCAGGGCCAAGAAAGGAAAACGGAGCUGUGGAUUUGUGUGCAGCUCAGAGCACAGGCCUGAGAGCAAGAGGAGCAGGAACACUGCUGCUGUGCUGCCGCUGCCCCACGCCCACCACUAAUGUUGGUGUCGCAUUUUUAUGACUGAUGCGCCAUGUCAGACCUAGGCGUGCUGACUUUGCUUCUGUGCAUGCAGGGAAGGGAACAGAAAAGAGCCAUGAGUUAAAACUGGAUUUUCUGUUCCUAAUUUAUGCCAUGAGAGCCUUGACUACAACUUAAUUGGGAGCUCCAAAAUGGUGGAGAAACAGCUACUGAGGUACGCAGUGCUGGCAGAAAGCUGGAGUCAGGAACUGCAAUCCAAAAGGCUUCAGAAAAUCAAUGUGCUGAAUGAAGGAGGAGCUGAACCAAAUCGUUUCCCACCAAGUGGCAUAGAAAGAAGUCCAGCGACGUCAGGAGGACGGGGAUAUUGUGGACAUUAUCCAGGCUGAGGGGGAACAAUUCCCAGACCAGCUUUCCCACCUGCAGCGCUAUCAACAUGCACUCACCUGACACUCCCCGACUUCCUUCACAUCUCUCCCUGCGUCUGCGAGGCUCUUGGAACCUCCCGGUGUUCUGUCGACUGCAAGGGCAAACCCACCUGACUCUGGCAUUGGCUGAUGAAAACCCAUAUGGGUUUGAGAGAAGGAGCAGGGUCAGGAGCAGAGACAACACCUGGAUGAGAAGAGAAAACUCCAAAGCCUGUGAACAGAGUGAUGAGCUGAAGUUAGCCUGGGAGUAGGAACAUUGAUAGAGGAAUACAUGAAAAAUGUGGUGGGUCUUUUUUUUUUUUUUUUUUUUUUUUUUUUUUUUUUUUUAACAAUCUGAGAUGAGCAGUAAGCAAAUGUAGAACUCCUAAAAGAAUAUAAAAUGCUGCUGUGACGAAAUCUGUUUGUUCGCUUAAGUAGAAUAUUUGCUUUUAUUGAGAGAGGAGAACUAAACCUAGGUUUUUUCCCCUGGAAUGUACUAAUUUUAAAUGAUAUUGAUCAUAAAAAAUAUAUUCUUUUCUUACAACAA